UUCUUGGUCAUUUAGAGGAAGUAAAAGUCGUAACAAGGUUUCCGUAGGUGAACCUGCGGAAGGAUCAUUAAAGAAAUUUAAUAAUUUUGAAAAUGGAUUUUUUUGUUUUGGCAAGAGCAUGAGAGCUUUUACUGGGCAAGAAGACAAGAGAUGGAGAGUCCAGCCGGGCCUGCGCUUAAGUGCGCGGUCUUGCUAGGCUUGCAAGUUUCUUUCUUGCUAUUCCAAACGGUGAGAGAUUUCUGUGCUUUUGUUAUAGGACAAUUAAAACCGUUUCAAUACAACACACUGUGGAGUUUUCAUAUCUUUGCAACUUUUUCUUUGGGCAUUCGAGCAAUCGGGGCCCAGAGGUAACAAACACAAACAAUUUUAUCUAUUCAUUAAAUUUUUGUCAAAAACAAGAAUUUUCGUAACUGGAAAUUUUAAAAUAUUAAAAACUUUCAACAACGGAUCUCUUGGUUCUCGCAUCGAUGAAGAACGCAGCGAAAUGCGAUACGUAAUGUGAAUUGCAGAAUUCCGUGAAUCAUCGAAUCUUUGAACGCACAUUGCGCCCCUUGGUAUUCCAGGGGGCAUGCCUGUUUGAGCGUCAUUUCCUUCUCAAACAUUCUGUUUGGUAGUGAGUGAUACUCUUUGGAGUUAACUUGAAAUUGCUGGCCUUUUCAUUGGAUGUUUUUUUUCCAAAGAGAGGUUUCUCUGCGUGCUUGAGGUAUAAUGCAAGUACGGUCGUUUUAGGUUUUACCAACUGCGGCUAAUCUUUUUUUAUACUGAGCGUAUUGGAACGUUAUCGAUAAGAAGAGAGCGUCUAGGCGAACAAUGUUCUUAAAGUUUGACCUCAGAUCAGGUAGGAGUACCCGCUGAACUUAAGCAUAUCAAUAAGCGGAGGAA
rnacentral:rRNA from 1 species